CUCCUGCCUGGAAACUUCCAUACGCCAUUGUUUCGGCAAAAAAAAGGAAUAGGGAAAAUCUGUACUACAGACAGAAAACAAGAGGAAAGACUGAAGGUCCUCUCUGCGGAAGCAGGACACAGCUGAGGUGAGAACUUGAAAAGAUGUAGAGCAGUGCUUCUUAAACUUGAAUGUGCAUAAGAUGCUCUCAGAACACAGAUUCCUACUCCUGAGAGUCUGAGUUUGACUGAGUUGGUCUAGG
rnacentral:lncRNA from 1 species